AUUGAACGCUGGCGGCAGGCCUAACACAUGCAAGUCGAGCGGAUGAGAAGAGCUUGCUCUUCGAGUUAGCGGCGGACGGGUGAGUAAUGCCUAGGAAUCUGCCUGGUAGUGGGGGACAACGUUUCGAAAGGAACGCUAAUACCGCAUACGUCCUACGGGAGAAAGCAGGGGACCUUCGGGCCUUGCGCUAUCAGAUGAGCCUAGGUCGGAUUAGCUAGUUGGUGAGGUAAUGGCUCACCAAGGCGACGAUCCGUAACUGGUCUGAGAGGAUGAUCAGUCACACUGGAACUGAGACACGGUCCAGACUCCUACGGGAGGCAGCAGUGGGGAAUAUUGGACAAUGGGCGAAAGCCUGAUCCAGCCAUGCCGCGUGUGUGAAGAAGGUCUUCGGAUUGUAAAGCACUUUAAGUUGGGAGGAAGGGCAGUAAGCGAAUACCUUGCUGUUUUGACGUUACCGACAGAAUAAGCACCGGCUAACUCUGUGCCAGCAGCCGCGGUAAUAC
rnacentral:rRNA from 1 species